rnacentral:rRNA from 1 species
GUCCACGCCGUAAACGAUGAUCACUCGUCAUUGGCGAUACACUGUCAGUGACCUAGCGAAAGCGUUAAGUGAUCCACCUGGGGAGUACGGCCGCAAGGCUGAAACUCAAAGGAAUUGACGGGGGCCCGCACAAGCGGUGGAGCAUGUGGUUUAAUUCGAUGAUACGCGAGGAACCUUACCAGGGCUCGAACGCACGUAGACAGUCGCGGAAACGUGAUCUUCUUCGGACUGCGUGCGAGGUGCUGCAUGGCUGUCGU